AUCAUGGACAGUAGUACGCAUGCGCGACAUUAUAGACGGCAGUAUGCAUGCGCGAGUCGCGAGACGGCAGUACGCCCGCGCGAGGUUCGAGACGGCAGUACGCAUGUGCGACAUUACGGACGAUAGUACGCAUGCGCGAGGGUCGAGCCGGGAGUACGCAUGCGCGACAUUACGGACAGCAGUACGCUUGCGCGAGUUUCCAGACGGCAGUACGCAUGCGCGGCAUUACGGACAGCAGUACGCAUGCGCGAGUUCCGAGAGGGCAGUACGCAUGCGCGAGAUCAUGGACGGUAGUAUGCAUGCGCGAGUUUCCAGACGGCAGUACGCAUGCGCGAGCCCCGACACGGCAGUACGCGUGCGCGACAUCAUGGACGGCAGUACGCAUGCGCGAGCCGGGAUACGGCAGUACACAUGCGCGACAUUAUAGACGAUGGCACCAGAGACCGCCGCAACCUUUCCGACGCAGUUUUCCUGUUUGGACAUUAGGUGGCAGCAGAUACCGUGGAAACAACUCCUCCGCCGCCUUUUAGCGGACUGCCUGGGACCGUGGGCGCGCGCAUCCCCUUCUCUCUUUCUUUUCUUGGCAGAGGAUGGUGGGGGGAAGAAGGGGAGACGACAAAGAAAAGCAAGGAAAACUUCGACAAACCCCCCAACCCCGUGCUAAAUGCUUUGGUAUACCUGUAAAUAAAUGAAUACAUAACCAGCAA
ensembl:lncRNA